rnacentral:rRNA from 1 species
AGAGUUUGAUCCUGGCUCAGAGCGAACGCUGGCGGCAGGCCUAACACAUGCAAGUCGAACGAACUCUUCGGAGUUAGUGGCGGACGGGUGAGUAACACGUGGGAACGUGCCUUUAGGUUCGGAAUAACUCAGGGAAACUUGUGCUAAUACCGAAUGUGCCCUUCGGGGGAAAGAUUUAUCGCCUUUAGAGCGGCCCGCGUCUGAUUAGCUAGUUGGUGAGGUAAAGGCUCACCAAGGCGACGAUCAGUAGCUGGUCUGAGAGGAUGAUCAGCCACAUUGGGACUGAGACACGGCCCAAACUCCUACGGGAGGCAGCAGUGGGGAAUCUUGCGCAAUGGGCGAAAGCCUGACGCAGCCAUGCCGCGUGAAUGAUGAAGGUCUUAGGAUUGUAAAAUUCAUUCACCGGGGACGAUAAUGACGGUACCAGGAGAAGAAGCCCCGGCUAACUUCGU